CAGAUUUGCACUUCAAAAAUAGUGAUUUCUUAAGGUGAAGAAAUCUCUUUGUAAAUGUCCUAAAGAAAUAUAGUGGCUUUCUGUUCACCCUUUGCAAGUGGAAAAGGUAGAUCGUUCCUCUGCUGAUAUGU